AGAUCUGAUAUGACAACUAAUUUUGGGUGGCAAAGAGCUAUCUUGGAAAUAAUUAAAUGAAAGAAAAUCAGAGUCCAAACUAAUUCUACAUGAGGAGCAAACUUAGAAAGAAUUGGAACCAAUUCUUGGAAAACUUGAUUUGGGCAGCCGAAACUUUACUUUGUUUUGCAGAUUUUGUGGACCCAGGAAGGAAGAAAUUCUUCUCCUCUAAUUAACCAUACCUCCUUUCCUUCUUUUACUAUGGAAAUCAUAAUAAAAUCAGAAAAGUUGGGCAGCAUAAGGAGUAGAUGGCUGGUGGUUGCUUAAAGCCUAUCC
rnacentral:lncRNA from 1 species